GUAGGUGGCAAGCGUUGUCCGGAAUUAUUGGGCGUAAAGCGCGCGCAGGCGGUUCUUUAAGUCUGAUGUGAAAGCCCACGGCUCAACCGUGGAGGGUCAUUGGAAACUGGAGAACUUGAGUACAGAAGAGGAAAGCGGAAUUCCACGUGUAGCGGUGAAAUGCGUAGAGAUGUGGAGGAACACCAGUGGCGAAGGCGGCUCUCUGGUCUGUAACUGACGCUGAGGCGCGAAAGCGUGGGGGGAGCAAACAGGAUUAGAUACCCUGGUAGUCCACGCCGUAAACGAUGAGUGCUAAGUGUUAGGGGGUUUCCGCCCCUUAGUGCUGCAGCUAACGCAUUAAGCACUCCGCCUGGGAGUACGGCCGCAAGGCUG
rnacentral:rRNA from 1 species